rnacentral:rRNA from 1 species
CCUACGGGUGGCAGCAGUGAGGAAUAUUGGUCAAUGGACGAGAGUCUGAACCAGCCAAGUAGCGUGAAGGAUGACUGCCCUAUGGGUUGUAAACUUCUUUUAUAUGGGAAUAAAACGUUCCACGUGUGGGAUUUUGUAUGUACCAUAUGAAUAAGGAUCGGCUAACUCCGUGCCAGCAGCCGCGGUAAUACGGAGGAUUCGAGCGUUAUCCGGAUUUAUUGGGUUUAAAGGGAGCGUAGGUGGAUUGUUAAGUCAGUUGUGAAAGUUUGCGGCUCAACCGUAGAAUUGCAGUUGAUACUGGCAGUCUUGAGUACAGUAGAGGUAGGCGGAAUUCGUGGUGUAGCGGUGAAAUGCUUAGAGAUCACGAAGAACUCCGAUUGCGAAGGCAGUUCACUAGACUGCAACUGACACUGAGGCUCGAAAGUGUGGGUAUCAAACAGGAUUAGAUACCCCUAUAGUC